rnacentral:rRNA from 1 species
UACGGAGGAUCCAAGCGUUAUCCGGAAUCAUUGGGUUUAAGGGGUCCGUAGGCGGUUUUGUAAGUCAGUGGUGAAAGCCCAUCGCUCAACGGUGGAACGGCCAUUGAUACUGCAAGACUUGAAUUAUUAGGAAGUAACUAGAAUAUGUAGUGUAGCGGUGAAAUGCUUAGAUAUUACAUGGAAUACCAAUUGCGAAGGCAGGUUACUACUAAUGGAUUGACGCUGAUGGACGAAAGCGUGGGGAGCGAACAGG